UACGGAGGGUGCAAGCGUUAUCCGGAUUCACUGGGUUUAAAGGGUGCGUAGGCGGGCAGGUAAGUCCGUGGUGAAAUCUCUGAGCUUAACUCAGAAACUGCCAUGGAUACUAUUUGUCUUGAAUGUUGUGGAGGUAAGCGGAAUAUGUCAUGUAGCGGUGAAAUGCUUAGAUAUGACAUAGAACACCAAUUGCGAAGGCAGCUCACUACACAAAUAUUGACGCUGAGGCACGAAAGCGUGGGGAUCAAACAGG
rnacentral:rRNA from 1 species